CGGUCUCUAUUUGUUGAGGACAAAUAAAGUGAAUAUGGCUAUCAAUUCCUCCGGCGGUGAGGAGCAUUCCUUCCCCGGCGAUCGCUUCAGUAGAAGGGCCGAUAAUAAUAUCAAUAUUAUCUUGAAUAUAGGGAUUUCCCGCUUUCCCAAUUUUAUAAAUUUUCCCAUCUUUUAUCCCCACAUCUGCUUUAACAAUCCCCCACCAAUCUACAAUUAAAGCAUUCGUAAUUACUAAAUCUACCGCCCCAUCUUCCCGGGAAAUUGGAGAUUGUCCCAUGCCAUCCCG
rfam:Planktothrix agardhii NIVA-CYA 126/8 chromosome, whole genome shotgun sequence.